GGCCGAAAGUCCGCGCGCGGGGGAUCCCUGAGGAUUCGCGCCUCCUGGAGGGGAGGAGAGCCCGCCUGAGGCGCCAGUGCCCGAGUGACUGACUGGGCUGCCGCGCGCGCUCUGCAGCCGCCUCACGCUAGGGCUGCAGGCUGGCGACGGUUCUUACUCCCUGAAAUAGAAUUAAGCGCCCCGUCCGCCGCGAGUGCUGUGGGAAGUUGGGCGGAGGUGAAGAGUUGCAGACCGGGGUCGGGAGGCGGUGUCUGAGGAGGGUCUCGAACGCACCCGAGUUUCUGCCCGACGGAGGUGGCAGAAGCAGUAAGGUAGAGGCGCGGGGCGGCCGCGAGCGGCCGGGCCUGUGAAGCAUGUGACAGGAACCAGGAUGGAGAAGGCCGGUCGGUGUCCUGUGGCCGCUGAAGAAUUUCAAGGGAAUCAGUGAGCAGCAUGCCAGAGGUGAUUCAGCUCUUUUAACACUCAUGGUGCUGCAGGAGUGAGUCUACGGUGAAGGAACCCAGUAUGGAGCAUCUUUUAUAAUAAGCUCGUAGACCCGCUUCUCUGAGUUCUGUGAGCUGCACCAGCAAAUUAAUCAGAUUCAAUGAAGGCAUCGUGGGAACUCCAACUUGAAGCCGGUCAGAAGUUCUAGAGGCCCCGACUUGCAACUAGUGUCUGGAAAGCUCUUUGUCCUGGGAAGAGCUUGCUGCAUCUUCUAGUUUCAGUAAUCAAAGAAGCAGAGUUCCCCUGCAAUUCUUCAAGGAGCCUUGAGGAUUCAGAAGGUGUUCGGGUGGCUGCAUCAAUCCUGCAGACAAAUUUCCAGUCGGCAGAGGGGCCAUUCCCAGGGCCACAUGGCUGGCUGGAUUGAGUCUUGGCCAGGUGCCAUAGACCUGUAUCUGCCGUGAUGGCAAUGUUGCAAUGACAUCAGCAUCUUACAACCCAUGUUCCUGCUCAAGCCUCCUCAGCACUAGGACAGUGACUGGCUUCUAUGCCUUUGAUGCACACUGAAGAAGGCUGUGUCUACACUUGUUUCAAACCUCCCUCGUGUGACUCAGGGAUCUCUGAGAGAUCUUUUAAAUGUCUGACAAAAAAAUGACAGUGGCAGAUGCACGAAUGAGAUCAAUCCAGAUUAGUUAAGUCUGGCCCAGAAGAUGAGACCUACCCUGAUGAAGACAGCUCAAAUUGCCAG